GCGACCCCAGGAUGGGCGAGGCCACCCGCCGAGUUUAAGCAUAUCAAUAAGCGGAGGUAGAAGAAAC
rnacentral:rRNA from 1 species